UACGUAGGGCGCAAGCGUUAUCCGGAAUUAUUGGGCGUAAAGAGCUCGUAGGCGGUUUGUCACGUCGGAUGUGAAACCCCGGGGCUCAACCCCGGGCCUGCAUUCGAUACGGGCAGACUAGAGUGUGGUAGGGGAGAUCGGAAUUCCUGGUGUAGCGGUGAAAUGCGCAGAUAUCAGGAGGAACACCGGUGGCGAAGGCGUAUCUCUGGGCCAUUACUGACGCUGAGGAGCGAAAGCGUGGGGAGCGAACAGG
rnacentral:rRNA from 1 species